rnacentral:rRNA from 1 species
CCUACGGGAGGCAGCAGUAAGGAAUAUUGGUCAAUGGAGGCAACUCUGAACCAGCCAUGCCGCGUGCAGGAAGACAGCCCUCUGGGUCGUAAACUGCUUUUAUUCGGGAAUAAACCUUAUUACGUGUAAUAAGCUGAAUGUACCGAAGGAAUAAGGAUCGGCUAACUCCGUGCCAGCAGCCGCGGUAAUACGGAGGAUCCAAGCGUUAUCCGGAUUUAUUGGGUUUAAAGGGUGCGUAGGCGGCUUAUUAAGUCAGGGGUGAAAGACGGUGGCUCGACCAUCGCAGUGCCUUUGAUACUGAUGAGCUUGAAUGAACUAGAGGUAGGCGGAAUGCGACAAGUAGCGGUGAAGUGCAUAGAUAUGUCACAGAACACCGAUUGCGAAGGCAGCUUACUAUGGUUUUAUUGACGCUGAGGCACGAAAGCGUGGGGAUCAAACAGGAUUAGAUACCCUGGUAGUCCACGCCCUAAACGAUGAAUACUCGCUGUUAGCGAUAUACAGUUAGCGGCUAAGCGAAAGCGUUAAGUAUUCCACCUGGGGAGUACGCCCGCAAGGGUGAAACUCAAAGGAAUUGACGG